rnacentral:rRNA from 1 species
AGAGUUUGAUCAUGGCUCAGAGCGAACGCUGGCGGCAGGCCUAACACAUGCAAGUCGAGCGCCCCGCAAGGGGAGCGGCAGACGGGAGAGUAACACGUGGGAACGUGCCCUUUGGUUCGGAACAACACAGGGAAACUUGUGCUGAUACCGGAUAAGUCCGUAAGGAGAAAGAUUUAUCGCCAAAGGAUCGGCCCGCGUCUGAUUAGCUUGUUGGUGAGGUAACGGCUCACCAAGGCGACGAUCAGUAGCUGGUCUGAGAGGAUGAUCAGCCUCACUGGGACUGAGACACGGCCCAGACUCCUACGGGAGGCAGCAGUGGGGAAUAUUGGACAAUGGGCGCAAGCCUGAUCCAGCCAUGCCGCGUGGAUGAUGAAGGCCCUAGGGUUGUAAAGUCCUUUCGGCGGGGAAGAUAAUGACGGUACCCGCAGAAGAAGCCCCGGCUAACUUCGUGCCAGCAGCCGCGGUAAUACGAAGGGGGCUAGCGUUGCUCGGAAUCACUGGGCGUAAAGCGCACGUAGGCGGCUUUUUAAGUCAGAGGUGAAAUCCUGGAGCUCAACUCCAGAACUGCCUUUGAUACUGGAGAGCUUGAGUCCGGGAGAGGCGAGUGGAACUGCGAGUGUAGAGGUGAAAUUCGUAGAUAUUCGCAAGAACACCAGUGGCGAAGGCGGCUCACUGGCCCGGUACUGACGCUGAGGUGCGAAAGCGUGGGGAGCAAACAGGAUUAGAUACCCCCGUAGUCC